GACGAACGCUGGCGGCGUGCUUAACACAUGCAAGUCGUACGGUAAGGCCCUUUCGGGGGUACACGAGUGGCGAACGGGUGAGUAACACGUGAGUAACCUGCCCACAACUUUGGGAUAACGCUAGGAAACUGGUGCUAAUACUGGAUAUGUGCUCCUGCUGCAUGGUGGGGGUUGGAAAGCUCCGGCGGUUGUGGAUGGACUCGCGGCCUAUCAGCUUGUUGGUGGGGUAGUGGCCUACCAAGGCGGCGACGGGUAGCCGGCCUGGGAGGGUGACCGGCCACAUGGGGACUAGGGUAGGCCCCAGACCCCUACGGGGGACAACAGGGGGGAAUAUGGCCCAAUGGGCCCAAGCCGGAGGCAGAAACCCCGGGGUCGGAAUGCCGGCCUUCGGGUUGAAAACCGCUUUCAGCAGGGACCAAGCUUUUUUGGACGUACCCUGCAAAAAAAGCACCGCCAACCUCGUG
rnacentral:rRNA from 1 species